rnacentral:rRNA from 1 species
GACGAACGCUGGCGGCGUGCUUAACACAUGCAAGUCGAACGGAAAGGCCCUGCUUUUGUGGGGUGCUCGAGUGGCGAACGGGUGAGUAACACGUGAGUAACCUGCCCUUGACUUUGGGAUAACUUCAGGAAACUGGGGCUAAUACCGGAUAGGAGCUCCUGCUGCAUGGUGGGGGUUGGAAAGUUUCGGCGGUUGGGGAUGGACUCGCGGCUUAUCAGCUUGUUGGUGGGGUAGUGGCUUACCAAGGCUUUGACGGGUAGCCGGCCUGAGAGGGUGACCGGCCACAUUGGGACUGAGAUACGGCCCAGACUCCUACGGGAGGCAGCAGUGGGGAAUAUUGCACAAUGGGCGGAAGCCUGAUGCAGCAACGCCGCGUGCGGGAUGACGGCCUUCGGGUUGUAAACCGCUUUCGCCUGUGACGAAGCGUGAGUGACGGUAAUGGGUAAAGAAGCACCGGCUAACUACGUGCCAGCAGCCGCGGUGAUACGUAGGGUGCGAGCGUUGUCCGGAUUUAUUGGGCGUAAAGGGCUCGUAGGUGGUUGAUCGCGUCGGAAGUGUAAUCUUGGGGCUUAACCCUGAGCGUGCUUUCGAUACGGGUUGACUUGAGGAAGGUAGGGGAGAAUGGAAUUCCUGGUGGAGCGGUGGAAUGCGCAGAUAUCAGGAGGAACACCAGUGGCGAAGGCGGUUCUCUGGGCCUUUCCUGACGCUGAGGAGCGAAAGCGUGGGGAGCGAACAGGCUUACAUACCCUGGUAGUCCACGCUGUAAACGGUGGGUACUAGGUGUGGGGUCCAUUCCACGGGUUCCGUGCCGUAGCUAACGCUUUAAGUACCCCGCCUGGGGAGUACGGCCGCAAGGCUAAAACUCAAAGGAAUUGACGGGGCCCCGCACAAGCGGCGGAGCAUGCGGAUUAAUUCGAUGCAACGCGUAGAACCUUACCUGGGUUUGACAUGGAUCGGGAGUGCUCAGAGAUGGGUGUGCCUCUUUUGGGGUCGGUUCACAGGUGGUGCAUGGCUGUCGUCAGCUCGUGUCGUGAGAUGUUGGGUUAAGUCCCGCAACGAGCGCAACCCUUGUUCACUGUUGCCAGCACGUUAUGGUGGGGACUCAGUGGAGACCGCCGGGGUCAACUCGGAGGAAGGUGGGGAUGACGUCAAGUCAUCAUGCCCCUUAUGUCCAGGGCUUCACGCAUGCUACAAUGGCUGGUACAGAGAGUGGCGAGCCUGUGAGGGUGAGCGAAUCUCGGAAAGCCGGUCUCAGUUCGGAUUGGGGUCUGCAACUCGACCUCAUGAAGUCGGAGUCGCUAGUAAUCGCAGAUCAGCAACGCUGCGGUGAAUACGUUCCCGGGGCUUGUACACACCGCCCGUCAAGUCAUGAAAGUUGGUAACACCCGAAGCCGGUGGCCUAACCGUUGUGGGGGAGCCGUCGAAGGUGGG